rnacentral:rRNA from 1 species
GACGAACGCUGGCGGCGUGCUUAACACAUGCAAGUCGAACGGAAAGGCCCUGCUUUUGUGGGGUGCUCGAGUGGCGAACGGGUGAGUAACACGUGAGUAACCUGCCCUUGACUUUGGGAUAACUUCAGGAAACUGGGGCUAAUACCGGAUAGGAGCUCCUGCUGCAUUGUGGGGGUUGGAACGUUUCGGCGGUUGGGGAUGGACUCGCGGCUUAUCAGCUUGUUGGUGGGGUAGUGGCAUACCAAGGCUUUGACGGGUAGCCGGCAUGAGAGGGUGACCGGCCACAAGGGGACUGAGAGACGGACCAGACGCCUACGGUAGGCAGCAGUGGGGAAUAUUGCACAAUGGGCGGAAGCCUGAUGCAGCAACGCCGCGUGCGGGAUGACGGCCUUCGGGUUGUAAACCGCUUUCGCCUGUGACGAAGCGGGAGUGACGGUAAUGGGUAAAGAAGCACCGGCUAACUACGUG